GCCCGGUUAGCUCAAUCGGUAGAGCGUGAGACUCUUACGAGAAUUCACGUUCCAACAGAACGAUUGAUUCAGUCGCAAUCUCAAGGUUGCGGGUUCGACCCCCGCAUCGGGCU